rnacentral:rRNA from 1 species
GACAGAGGGUGCAAACGUUGCUCGGAAUUACUGGGCGUAAAGCGCGUGUAGGUGGUCACGCAAGUCAGGUGUGAAAGCCCAGGGCUCAACCCUGGAAGUGCACAUGAUACUACGUGGCUGGAGUACUGAAGAGGAGAGCGGAAUUCCCGGUGUAGAGGUGAAAUUCGUAGAUAUCGGGAGGAACACCAGUGGCGAAGGCGGCCUCUCUGGGCAGAUACUGACACUGAGACGCGAAAGCGUGGGUAGCAAACAGG